rfam:Trichobilharzia regenti genome assembly, scaffold: TRE_scaffold0049705
GCCCGGUUAGCUCAGUCGGUAGAGCAUCAGACUUUUAAUCUGAGGGUCGGGGUUUCGAGCCCUCCAUCGGGCG